CCCUUAGUAACGGCGAGUGAACAGGGAUUAGCCCAGCACCGAAGCCUGUAGCUAUUUGGCUGCUAGGCAAUGUGGUGUUGAGAUUGAUUUUUGGCAUUUCUGCUUCAUCCUAAGUCCAUUAAUGAGUACGGCUAAUGGACCGGCCCAAAGAGGGUGAAAGGCCCGUGUGGAUGAAGAUCAAGUGUGACAGAAGUGCUUUGAAUUGAUCUUGGAGUCGGGUUGUUUGUGAAUGCAGCCCAAAGUGGGUGGUAGACUCCAUCCAAGGCUAAAUACUGGCACGAAUCCGAUAGCAAACAAGUACCGUGAGGGAAAGUUGAAAAGUACUUUGAAGAGAGAGUAAACAGUGCGUGAAACCGCUCAGAGGUAAACGGGUGGAGUUGAACUGGAAUCCUUGGGAAUUUAACUGAUGAGUGUAGUUUGUGCUUGGGCAUAUUGGCCAGCAUUCGGGGUUUGCUCAAUUGCAGGCCUUGGCUCUUUGGAGCUUGGGUGCACGAGUCACUUAUCAUGUGUUGUGUGCCUCGAAUGUGUAUUGGGCUUGCUUGUCAGUGCAUUUUCUCAGGGUGAUCACCACGACCGGCGUGGUUGCCUGUCUGCUACGGUUAAACCGAUCAGAUUUGGUUAUGUUGACUGGAUUUGGUCGGGACGGCAGGUAGCUUGUUGGCUUUCAAGCUGGCAAGUGUUAUUAGCUGACCGUAAUAGGUUUGUGCAAUAUGUCGGAGAUGACGGCUUUAUUCACGCUGACUGGCAGAAAUAGUGUUGGGUUUGAUUGGCAGUAUACUUGUCUAUUGCAGGUCUGUCAGUAGCUCAAUGGUGUUUGUCAGCAGUUUGUGUGUAUAACGUGAUUUGAGCCUACAGUCUGUGGUGUAGUGGUAGACUAUCCACCCGACCCGUCUUGAAACACGGACCAAGGAGUGUAACAUGUGCGCGAGUCGUUGGGCGUUACGAAACCCAAAGGCGCAGUGAAAGUAAAGGUUCGACUUGUGUCGGACUGAGGUGAGAUCCUGUUGUACUCAUUUAAUAUUAUCAAGCAUUGAUGCAAUGGGCGCAUCACCAGCCCGUCUCAUGGUGUAGUCAUGGAGCUUUGCUCUGUGCGUCAUCGGGGCGGAGCUAGAGCGUACAUGUUGUGACCCGAAAGAUGGUGAACUAUGCUUGCGCAGGUUGAAGCCAGAGGAAACUCUGGUGGAGGACCGCAGCGAUUCUGACGUGCAAAUCGAUCGUCAAACGUGAGUAUAGGGGCGAAAGACUAAUCGAACCAUCUAGUAGCUGGUUCCCUCCGAAGUUUCCCUCAGGAUAGCUGGCAUUCGGAGUAUUAUUAAACAGUUUUAUCCGGUAAAGCGAAUGAUUAGAGGUAUUGGGGAUAAAACAUCCUCAACCUAUUCUCAAACUAUAAAUGGGUGAGAAGCUUUGCUCGUUUGACUAGAGUGAAGCGUUGAAUGUGAGUGCCAAGUGGGCCAUUUUUGGUAAGCAGAACUGGCGCUGUGGGAUGAACCAAACGCUUGGUUAAGGUGCCUAACACGACGCUCAUGAGAUACCACAAAAGGUGUUGGUUGGUAUAGACAGCAGGACGGUGGCCAUGGAAGUCGGAAACCGCUAAGGAGUGUGUAACAACUCACCUGCCGAAUCAACCAGCCCUGAAAAUGGAUGGCGCUGGAGCGUUGGACCUAUACCGGGCCGUUGCCGCAUGUUGAACUAAUAAAGUGUUUGAAGUUCAAGCAUGGAGAGCGGUAACGAGUAGGAGGGUCGCUGUGGUGAGCGGGAAGCCUCGGACGUGAGUCUGGGUGGAGCCGCCACAGGUGCAGAUCUUGGUGGUAGUAGCAAAUAUUCAAGUGAGAACCUUGAAGGCCGAAGUGGAGAAGGGUUCCAUGGGAACAGUGUUUGGCCAUGGGUCAGGCGGUCCUAAGCGAUCCGGUAAAUCGGAACAGAGACGGGGUGCCUGACAUUGUCCGUUGAUGGGCUUUGUUCAGAGUUUGCUGCUCAUGAGAUGAACUGAUUAACCAAAAUGCGCAGCCCCCUGUAGCGAAAGGGAAUCGGGUUAAUAUUCCCGUCCCUGCCCACGGAGAUUGGUGCACGUUUGACUUUCGGGUUGAGUGUGUGCCUAGCGCGGUAACGCAACCGACCUCGGAGACGUUGGCGAGAGUUCUGGGAAGAGUUCUCUUUUCUUUGUUAGGAGUGCAUCCACCCCCUGGAAUCGGUUUGUCCGGAGAUAGGGGUCUAGCCUCCGUAAAGCACCACCUUCCUUGUGGUGUCCGGAACACUCUUGUCGGCCCUUGAAAAUCCGAGCAAGGCAAUAUAAUUUUCGUGGCAGGCCGUACCCAUAUCCGCAUCAGGUCUCCAAGGUGAACAGCCUUGUUGUAAAUGGCAAUGUUUGAAUCUGGAUGUGAUGUGUGACCCGUUCUGAAGACCAUGUCAGGCGGGGAGUUUGACUGGGGCGGUACAUCCGUCAAAUGGUAACGCGGGUGUCNUAAGGUGAGCUCAGCCAGGACGGAAACCUGGCAUAGAGUAAAAGGGCAAAAGCUCACUUGAUUUUGAUUUUCAGUACGAAUACAGACCGUGAAAGCGUGGCCUAUCGAUCCUUUUGAUUGUUAUAUUCGGAGUUUGAAGCAAGAGGUGUCAGAAAAGUUACCACAGGGAUAACUGGCUUGUGGCAGCCAAGCGUUCAUAGCGACGUUGCUUUUUGAUCCUUCGAUGUCGGCUCUUCCUAUCAUUGUGAAGCAGAAUUCACCAAGCGUUGGAUUGUUCACCCACUAAUAGGGAACGUGAGCUGGGUUUAGACCGUCGUGAGACAGGUUAGUUUUACCCUACUAAUGAGUAAACUGAUUGAAGCAGUGCAAUUCAGCCGUUGUUAUGGUAAUCCUGUUUAGUACGAGAGGAACAACAGGUUCAGACAAUUGGUAUAUGUGCUUG
rnacentral:rRNA from 1 species